rnacentral:ncRNA from 2 species
AGCAGCCGCGGUAAUUCCAGCUCCAAUAGCGUAUAUUAAAGUUGUUGCAGUUAAAAAGCUCGUAGUUGAAUUUCGGGAUCAAUAUGUUGGUCGUGCCUUGGUACGUACUGGCAUUAUUGGUUUCUACCUUCUGAAGAACCUCGAUGUCAUUAAUUUGGUGUCUUGGGGAAUCAGGACUGUUACUUUGAAAAAAUUAGAGUGUUUAAAGCAGGCUCGCGCUUGAAUACAUUAGCAUGGAAUAAUGAAAUAGGACGUUUGAUUCUAUUUUGUUGGUUUCUAGGAUCGACGUAAUGAUUAAUAGGGAUAGUUGGGGGCAUUAGUAUUCAAUUGUCAGAGGUGAAAUUCUUGGAUUUAUUGAAGACUAACUACUGCGAAAGCAUUUGCCAAGGAUGUUUUCAUUAAUCAAGAACGAAAGUUAGGGGAUCGAAGACGAUCAGAUACCGUCGUAGUCUUAACCAUAAACUAUGCCGACUAGGGAUCGGAUGAUGUUAAUUUUUUAAUGACUCAUUCGGCGCCUUAC